UACAGAUAUCAAGAAUGGAAUGAUGUGUAAUGAUGGAAUGACGACCAUAUUCUCAUCUCCCUUCAUCUGUGUAUUGUACUACGCGAAUCACUUCAGACUCACCAUUCUGUAAGCCGCGCAAUUGAAGUCCUUGAGCAAACAGAAAAUAAGACCUUCCCUAAAAAAGCCACAAUACUCCAUGCCUACAUGCACUUUGAAGCCAUGACCUCACACAACUACUUGUAUUCUUGUUACAAGUGUGGAUACUAUCCACCAGUGGUGGUCAUGGACCUUCACAGAAAGGGUGUAUUCAAUAUGCCUGUAAGUGACAUGGAGGCUCCACCAGCACACUUUGAUGGCACUGUCGAUAUCAAGCUAUUUUGGGACUCUGUGAUGUCUGAAAUCGUUUGCAGUGGCUUACUUCCCUGUAAGUAAGCCACUUACUUACUUGUGUCUGUUCACUUAAAAUAUAGGGCUUGUCUGUUCCACCACAAGAAUACAGUGAUAGUAUUGUGAUGUAGACUUUGCAUGUUAAUAUUAUUGUUUAAUCACAAUUGUGAACUAUAGCAGGAUUCUUAAUUGAAGUAAAUUUAAGCUGCU